UAUCUCAUAAUGAUCGACAAUCGUAAUCAAAUAAAAUAUAAUCAAUUUUCAAUAUUAUUACUUCUUCGUAUUUAAAAAGAAAUAAUUCUUUGUAUACUGUAUCAUUUCAUCAAAGCAGAUCAAUUCUCUAACACUGUCUCCACAACAUGCUCUUAAGAUGCUCUUAUAUGUAUAGGACUUUGAUGAAAAGUUGAUGCAAUCGAUACACACGAAGAUGUUCAUAAGAGUCCUUCGAAUGAGAAAAGAGCUGAUCGAUUGCUAAAGAUAAACAAGAGAUCGGGACGUCACGAUCGAUUGCGCAAGAUGUCUGUGUACAGGAAAAAUAUGACGGGAUCCAUGUUUAAAAAAAGAAAAAAUAAAGAUUUCGUAAUGAUAUCUAAGCGAUUGUUGCUAGAUUCUUACUUUCGUUGUCAAUGGGAAACGAUGGAUUUCAGUAAUGAAUCGAUCAUAGUUGUAUAUGGAUUGAAUCGUUAUCGGAAUUCGAUCGUUGGUUAGAAGGAAACUAAAUAAAAAAAAAAAAGAAAAAAAAAUGAUUGGUCGAGUUCGAAUUCUUGCAACUGUUUGUAUAAACGAAAUAGAAAGAUACAGAUAUGUUCUGUUCACGAUCAGUUCGCACAAUAUCAUUAAAAGAAAUUCUUUUUGAUUUCGUUAAAUAGCAGAUAGAAAAAGAGAAAAUAGAGAAAAUUAUGAUUACACUAAGAAACAAUGAAAUAAAGUUAAAAUCAUAAAUGUAAUGGUAAAAUGUAUGAAAUUGUGAAACAGUCGAUAUUUGCUUUCUCUUUGUUUAUUUUCACGCUUAUACGUUCGGAAAUAUAUGGAUUUAGCAAUCUAUAAUCUACAUAAUUAUAAAUCAAACCAUGAUUUUAAUUUUAGUUCAAAUUUUUAGCUCGAAUUACUCAAAUUUAUUCAAAAUUUAUUCAUUGAAAAAUCAUUUCUUUUUUAGAAUUUAUUGCAUGGAAAAGAAUCUAGUAAAAUAUUUUAAUAUUUUAUUCUUUAAUAUUUUAUCUUUUUCAAAAUUUUAUAUUCUGAGAACAAAAAAAUUAAUAAUACCUAAAAAAAGUUUUGUGAAGUUCUUAAACAUCUUAGAAUACUAACAAUUAAUUAACAAUUUUUUAAAUAUAAUAAACAUUAUUUUAAAUGUAACAAAUUAUCAACGAAUAAAUAUUUUUUUAAUCCAGAA